rnacentral:lncRNA from 1 species
UUUUCUUCCUCCCAAACUCUAAUGGAGUUUCUUCUUGAAUGACUAAUAUUCUAUUCCAAUCUCAAUUCAAAAAAAUAUUUUGGCAGAUUAUUCAACAACUUUUGGUUUUACAAUUUGAGUGAAUGAGAAAUUUUACAACUUAACAACUGGUUAGAAGAGACUUGUGAUGGAUCUCGAUAUCGGUUUUAAAGGCUUUUUGUUGUUGUGUUGCGGUCUGGUUUUGUCAAUCAUCAUUUCAACAAUGGAUUUCCAAACAAUCUGAUUAUCAUAUGUAUGUGUGUGGUACUGAAAAUUGCCAAAACUGGGUAUCG